rnacentral:lncRNA from 1 species
ACACAUAUUCAGAGCAUAAGUACUAGGUGCAGUCAAGUAGGACCAUAACUAAAUUACAACACCCGCAGGUGAGUCCUACAUAUAUGUAGUCUGUCAGUACGCCGUGGGAAUCCUCGUGGGCCACCAACACUGCUAUCUAGAACUUGGAAGGGCGCAAAACAAAAUUGAGUGGGUUAGUAAAACCAAAGUUUUACUAAAACAUUUCAAAUAAUAACAUUUCUAACCCCUCGCUGUAAAACCUGUAUACUUUCCCAGAAAAUAACAUAAUAUGCAUAUACUUCUUCAAAUAUCUCAACUCACCAAUCUUUAUCAAAACCCAGAAAAUAUGCCAUGCCAUAAAUGUCAAUAACAGAUUAAGAAUGCAUCAAUAUAACAGGUGACAUAAUGAAUCAACCGGAGACCCUGUAGUAGGUCCUGUACAGUUAAUUCCAUAGCUCAAUAUCCAAACCAACCGACGUCACCACGGUGACCUGUACGGCACUACUCUGCACAUAAGUCGGAACUACCUGAAGUAGUCUGUACGACAAGAAUGGUGUAAUAAUACGCUCUAGUGCUUCUCUCAUCAAUCAUCUGUGCACAUAAUCUAAGGUCACCUACCAGUCGGAACCACUUCUAGUGAUCUAUACGACUAGCAUGUCGGAACCCUCUCAUGGUCUGUAUGACAUGCACCUACUUGGAUCCAAGGUGAGCAUGCGGUGCGGUGAAUAUUAUAAGCACUAACACCAACGGUGCAGGUUAUGAGCUCUCAACACAAUUCACAUUACAAUAAAUCAUAUGAAUAACAUAAAACUCACCUGAUACUCACCUGUGCGUCCACAGCACCAUUUCAUAUAUAUAUGCAUCAAUUACUAAUUCAUAUAAUUCAUAAUAUGCAUGCAUGGCAUUUUAAAAACAUACUUUCAUUUAAAUUCAAUUUCUGGGAAAUUCAGUAGUAUAUAGGUAAUAACAGAAAAUAACUGCCCAUCACUGAUAGGUCGAAGGUUCGUAACCCCGUGACGUCCUUGAAUGCGCUCGUCCUCGGGAUAGGUAUCACCUAUAUGCGAAACAACUAUAAAAACGUUAUUUAAAGCACAUAACCGACAAUACGUAAUAACUUCUCAUACGAUGCUCAAUUUGGGUAUAUGAAUAUACCACAGUGACCUACUCGACGUCACGGACGUCGAGGUAUUUUUAGAAAAAAAUUUCGAGGCUGCACGCACCCCCACACACCGGGAGGGGCACGGACCCACGUGCCCCCACGCACGUCACCUUUUUCCUCUAGUCGUGGGACUGGUUUUGCCGGUCGCCGGAAAACUGGAGAUUUUUCAUUCUCCUUGUUCUCCCUCAUUUCUCAACCAUUUUUCACGCAUUUUAUAUCAAAAUGAAGCCCUAAGCAUGUAGAAUCAUCUCGUACUAGUUUAAGGCUCUAAAAAUGAUGAAAUCUCACUUGAGAAAUUCCAAGAAAAUCGGCCAACUUCGAACUCAGUGAUCCCGACGUCCAAAACCUUCAAACUAAGCACUCCGAGCUUCCUUAGGACCUCACUAAGCUCACUGUAAGCUUAGAAUUCCCUGAAAAUCAACAAUUCACGUAUGCAUGAACAGUACUCAAAUUGGACCUCGAGUUUUCAACGUGAUAUCGAGGGUUAUAAGUUCUAAAAAUUGCACCAUUCAAAUCAGGAGGUUGAAAGGAUGAAGAACCUCAC